UUUUUGGUUUUAUAAUAACUUUAGUAUGGUUUCCUCAGACCUCUUUUUUGAGAUGUUUUACAUUAAGCUAAUACUUGUUUUCAUGGAAUUUACACAUCUUUCACAUAACCUUCCCUCUGCAUAAAAUUUUUGCUUUAUUUGUACAUGCCAUUUACCUACAAAACACAGAAUCUUCUUUGUUGGUUUGGGUCUUUUCUUUUAAAUCACUGACUUAUUACUUGAGAGUGUUAAUAAAGAUGGAAUUUUUUUAAUCAUUUGUAUUUCAUAACAUACUCACCAAACACUGCUAUGGAUAUUAUGGAUUAAAACAAUCAAAACAAAGGUUAUAAAAUUAAAACAACAGAAUGUCUGUAAAAGACUCAUAAAACACCAAUUAAACACUCAUUAAACAUCUAUAUUCACUUUUCCUGAAUAGUACAGGGGAUAUGACAUUUUUCUCAUUUUAACAGGAGUGGACAGCAGUCCUGUAUGUUAUACCUUCUGACUAAGUCACUACUUAAAACGACUAAACCAAUAAAGUAAUGCAAUGGUCAUUUUUUCAUAAACUUUAGUGAAGAUAUGUCAUUAAUUGAAACAGAAAAAAACCCACAGGAACACCAGUGAUAUAUAAUCAAAAUUUCACAAUCUCUUAAAAAUGAAAAUAUUUUUAAUAUCAAUGCAGAAAUCAGUAUUUGAAGUAGGUACAGGAGACACAGUGUCUGAAAGAAAAGCAAACCCUACUAUGCAAUACAAAAAUACUAGUGAGCGCACAAAUCUUAACAGUGUAAUUUGGGGGCAUUAUCCUAAGGUGUUGCAAUACUGUAUGUAGUCUAAAUAUGUAUCAAAUGUUAGCUAUAGAAUAUUUGUUAAAUACCUUCGGAAUACUUAUGACAGCAUGGGUUAAUGUAAAUAUGGUAUUAUUAAUAUAAAGAUUGAAACAAUCAUAGAUCACAGAAUAGAUCAUCCCUUAAAUUGUUAAGAAUCCUGAAUCUAAAUUAGUGAAAGAAAACUACACUGAACAUAAUAAAAUGAUAAUCCCAUACACACACUUGUGAAACAGUCAGCUUUUAGGUCUGUAUAAUUGCUGCACAGUGACACACACAGUGCUGCAGACUGGAAGUAGGAUUUUGGGGAAGCAAAGUACUUUGCUAGAAAUAGUAAGUAUGUGCAUGAAUGCCAAACUGCACGGACCUGCAAUUUAACUUUUUGUGAAAUGAUAGUAUGGAUCAUCAAGAUAGACACCUCUCCCCCUUUUUUUCCCCCAAGAUCACUGAAACAGCAGAAGAUGGCUACACACUCUUAGUUCUGAAGGACAGAGCAUAAUUAUUAUUACUGUAUUAUAUAUUAUUAUUAUAUUUAUUAUUACAGAGUGUAGAUUUUAUAAAAUGUUGAAUUUAAAAAUUUAAACACUUAAAUUUAGACAAACCUAUUAGUAGCACAAAUAAUUUCACAAUACAUCCACAUUCAAGAAAAGAGGGAAUUGUGUAAAACUACCUCUAUUUCUGUUACUGUUGACUAGUUAAAUAUUACAGUCCUCGCUUUUCUGUAUAAUUAAGCUUUUGUUCAACCAUGAAAAAACUAGAAACUGAUUGCUUGAAAAUGAGCUCUGUGACCUUUGUCCCGGUUUGUCACCUCUGACCUUUAAUUUGAAGACCCUGCAUAUCAAUGCAUUCUAAUUUUAGAAGCAGAAUGUUAAAAUCUAUGUAUAUUUUUUUUAAAUUGUUAUCCUCCCAUGUGAAACACCCCAAGCUGGUUUUGUCUUUUUUUAGCCUCUACACACCAAUCCAGAGUGGCAUAUUUGCUUUUUAUUGUGCAACUGCAUUUAAAACACCCAGGGUGCAAUUACAGAAAAUGAACACUUGCCUCUGUGGUGAAAAAAAGCUUUUUUGUUUAUUUUUUUAAUGUACCAGAGAUGCUGAAGCACAUUGAUGUGAAUUUAGAGAGAAAAAAAUUUCCUAGAGCGCACACCUUUCCAAAUUCACUGUCUUUUCCUCGGGAGAGGAAGAAAGGAAAAAAAGCUGGUGUCUGUGUUGGUGCUGUUGUUCAUGGGUACCUGUUUUUUCUUGAGCCUUCCCCUUACUAGGAACGGUUAUUUUGUUCUCAUGGAUGACACGCUGUUUUGAUAUUAGCUUUCAGAAUGCCCUUUCAUGAACUGAACCUGUGGUUAAAAAUAGCAAAGAGCAAGUGCCUGUCUAGUUGUUGGUUUCGGCUGCACUUCCAUUUUACAUGGGUAACAUUACGCUUCACAGGUUGUGUACAAAACUCCCUUUUCUGCUGUCAGGGGUCCCUUGCUGCAGAAGAGCACGCUGCAGUAUUUCUGCCAUUGGUUUUACUACCGGCGUUCAGUACCGGAGCGGUACCGCGGGUUCCACAAAGGCUUCUGGCGACAGCACUUCCCUCCGUAACCCCUCGUGCAGGACGCGAGCACACCCGAGCGGAGCACAGGACGCAAGCGCAGCCCGCAGCCGUGCCCCGACACCGGCCGGACCCCCGGGCCGCAGGCUCCCGCCGGCACCAAGAUGGCCGCGGGAUUCAGCACCCCGGCCAGCGGCAGCGGAGGCGCGGCACCCCCCCGCCCGCCGGCCACCGCGGCCGCUGCCCUGGACCCGCCGCCGCCGCACGACGGCCCGGGGGAGGAGGAGGCAGGGCCGGCAGAGUGCUGGCGGAGGGAAACGUGGCUCCUACGCGAACCACCUCUCGCCCCGGCGCCCCGCUCGGAACCUCGCCCGUGCGCUCAAGGGCGCGCUCCGCACCGGGGGCUUCAGCUGCGGUUCUAACAAAACAUCACCGGCGAGUUAAGGGAAAAAGAAUAAUUAAAAGAGGAGGCACAAAUAUUUUAACUGCUUGGGCUUUACAACCCGCUUCUGUGCUCGCGGGUGCUACCUGAAGCACUGCUGGUGACCUGCCACUGCAUCCUAGCAGUGGCCCGGGCAACAGCCGUCCAGGCCUAAGAGGGACAGGGUCCAAGGUCACCGCCUUUAUUUAUCACCAUUUUUCCUCUUCUGAUUUUUUAAAUACAUUCCAGCUAAUAAAUUUUCAGAUUUUUUUUUUAAUUUUUUGAAAACUGAGAUGGCAUCACAUGCCCUCUAUAGAAUGCAUUAUAAAAUCAGAGAAGACAGCUAUUUGUCAUACACACAUGGGCAGAGUUUUUACUACAGCUGCAUUUUUCUAACUACUACACAGGACAAACAUCAGCUGUAGUAACUACUUUUGCCAUUACAUACAUGAUUUGUUUCACUACAGCAAAGGAAACUUGGCUUCCUGGUGUAUUAAUAAUUAAGGUCAUAAUUUAAUUCAAUAUUGAUUCUUACUACUCUAUACCAAGGGGGGAAAAAAACCUCAUCAUUCUUUAAAGAACCAUGGCUUAGUUACAUAUCUUAGAAAUAGUUUUCCAAACAAGCUUGUCAGUGCUGUAUCCUGUGAAGCUUUAAGGUUUUUUUUAGUGUGGUUUAAAAAAAUAAAUUAGUUUUGUAAAACAAAGCAUACAGGUAUCAAUCUAAGAUAAAACAUGCACUACUGCAUUUUAGUACAAUAUUACAUACAGAUACCACUAAAACUAUACAUAGCUAUAUUUAAAUGAAACAAACACAAAUUUUAACUAUAAUUAUUUCAUUAGUAUCUGAUGACUUGUGACAGGACAUUUCUCCAUACUUGCAAUUAAUAGUGCUUCCAUGCAAGAUGUGACAUUCCAAACCAGGCUACUAGAUGGGGGGGGGGAGAGAACAGCCCUGUGUAUGGCCUAUUUAAAAACAGCAGCAACAUCAGUUAUGUAAGGGAAAGGCGUGAAGCAUGUAAACACAUUGGCAGAGUGCACACUACUAUUUUA
rnacentral:lncRNA from 1 species